UUCAGAGUGCGGAUUACUACAUCAACAAAACUGUUAAGCGGCAAGUCACGCGGGUGGCAGCCAUUUUCUCAUGGACGACGAGCUGUAAAAAGGAACGUUUGUGGCGAUUUUUGACUCAGGAAAAGAUUCUGCAGCAAUAUCAAUAUGGGGUCAUGCUUUUCAAUCAAGCCAAAACCUGAGCCACCAUCUGUAUUCGACGAAAAGAAACCAAAGGCUCCGGAUACACUUGAAGCUGUAGAGACUGGAAACUACAGUAUAAAGCUGCAUUGGACUGUACCAGAUGAUUCAAACUCUAACUUGUAUGGCUACCUGUUGGAAUGUUCCGAUGCUGGUAAAAACAAAUGGAGAUCAGUGGAACCUGAUUUGCCUGCAUUAUCUGAUGAUACCUCUGAUUAUGAAGUACCCGUCACACCUUACAAAGUGUAUGACUUCUGUGUAAAAUCUGCAAUCAAGAACAAUCUCAAAGCCAUCUACAGCGAGGGAUGUUUCCUGCAAGAUAUCGCGGCAAAGG